CCUACGGGUGGCAGCAGUGGGGAAUAUUGCACAAUGGGCGCAAGCCUGAUGCAGCCAUGCCGCGUGUGUGAAGAAGGCCUUCGGGAUGUAAAGCACUUUCAGCGGGGAGGAAGGCGGUGAGGUUAAUAACCUCAUCGAUUGACGUUACCCGCAGAAGAAGCACCGGCUAACUCCGUGCCAGCAGCCGCGGUAAUACGGAGGGUGCAAGCGUUAAUCGGAAUUACUGGGCGUAAAGCGCACGCAGGCGGUCUGUCAAGUCGGAUGUAAAAUCCCCGGGCUCAACCUGGGAACUGCAUUCGAAACUGGCAGGCUAGAGUCUUGUAGAGGGGGGUAGAAUUCCAGGUGUAGCGGUGAAAUGCGUAGAGAUCUGGAGGAAUACCGGUGGCGAAGGCGGCCCCCUGGACAAAGACUGACGCUCAGGUGCGAAAGCGUGGGGAGCAAACAGGAUUAGAUACCCGAGUAGUC
rnacentral:rRNA from 1 species